GAGGGUAUAGCUCAGUGGUAGAGUGCUUGGCUAGCAUGCACAAGGUCGUGGGUUCAAUCCCCAGUACCUCCA
rnacentral:tRNA from 1 species